AAUGGGUCAGCGACUUAUAUUCUGUAGCAAGGUUAACCGAAUAGGGGAGCCGAAGGGAAACCGAGUCUUAACUGGGCGUUAAGUUGCAGGGUAUAGACCCGAAACCCGGUGAUCUAGCCAUGGGCAGGUUGAAGGUUGGGUAACACUAACUGGAGGACCGAACCGACUAAUGUUGAAAAAUUAGCGGAUGACUUGUGGCUGGGGGUGAAAGGCCAAUCAAACCGGGAGAUAGCUGGUUCUCCCCGAAAGCUAUUUAGGUAGCGCCUCGUGAACUCAUCUCCGGGGGUAGAGCACUGUUUCGGCAAGGGGGUCAUCCCGACUUACCAACCCGAUGCAAACUGCGAAUACCGGAGAAUGUUAUCACGGGAGACACACGGCGGGUGCUAACGUCCGUCGUGAAGAGGGAAACAACCCAGACCGCCAGCUAAGGUCCCAAAGUCAUGGUUAAGUGGGAAACGAUGUGGGAAGGCCCAGACAGCCAGGAUGUUGGCUUAGAAGCAGCCAUCAUUUAAAGAAAGCGUAAUAGCUCACUGGUCGAGUCGGCCUGCGCGGAAGAUGUAACGGGGCUAAACCAUGCACCGAAGCUGCGGCAGCGACGC
rnacentral:rRNA from 1 species